rnacentral:rRNA from 1 species
UACGGGAGGCAGCAGUGGGGAAUAUUGCACAAUGGGCGAAAGCCUGAUGCAGCUAUGCCGCGUGUAUGAAGAAGGCCUUAGGGUUGUAAAGUACUUUCAUCGGGGAGGAAAAACAAAACUAAUAAUUUUAUUUCUUGACGUUACCCGAAAAAGAAGCACCGGCUAACUCCGUGCCAGCAGCCGCGGUAAUACGGAGGGUGCUAGCGUUAAUCAGAAUUACUGGGCGUAAAGAGCACGUAGGUGGCUUUUUUAAGUCAGAUGUGAAAUCCCUGGGCUUAACCUAGGAACUGCAUUUUGAAACUGAAAUACUAGAGUAUCGUAGAGGGAGGUAGAAUUCUAGGUGUAGCGGUGAAAUGCGUAGAUAUCUGGAGGAAUACCUGUGGCGAAAGCGGCCUCCUAAACGAAUACUGACACUGAGGUGCGAAAGCGUGGGGAGCAAACAGGGAUUAGAUACC